rnacentral:lncRNA from 1 species
CUGUUUCUUUUAUUUUUUGAGACAGAGUCUCACUUUGUCUCCAAGGCCAGAGUGCAGUGGAGCGAUCACAGCUCACUGCAGCCCCUGCCUUCCAGGCUCAAGCCAUCCUCCCACCUCAGCUUCUCAAGUAGCUGGGACUACAGGCAUGCACCACCACGCCCAGCUAAUUUUUGUAUUUUUUUUUUUUUUUUGUAGAGACGGGGUUCACCGUGUUGCCUAGGCUGGUCUCAAACCCCUGAGCUCAAGCAAUCUGCCCUCCUUGGCCUCCCAAAGUGUUGGAUUUACAGGCGUGAGCCACUGUGCCUGGAUAUGAGCAUCAAAAUACAUGAAGCAUAAAUGAAAGAACCGUGGGAGAAAGUAGACAAAUUAAUGACUGUAGUUGAAGAUUUCAGUAUCCCUCUAUGAAAAUCAGGGUAGUACAAGUACACAGAAAAUUGGUAAAGAUAUAUGACUUGAACAACAUUAUCAACCAAAUUGACCUCAUUUACAUUUGUGGAAUGUUCCAACUAAGAACGUCAGAAAACAUACUCUUUUCAAGUGCACAUGGAACAUUUACCAAGAUAGACAAUAUUUUGGGUCACCGCAAGUCUCAACACAUUGAAAGGAUUCAGAUCAUAUAAAGUAUGCUCCAUGACCAUGAUGGAAUUGAAUUAGAAACCAAUAAUGUAUCUCUGGAAAAUACACAAAUAUUUGGAAAUUAAUAUGCCUUCUAAAAAAUUUAUGCAUCAAGAAGAAAUCAAAAGGGAUAUUUGAAAGUACUAUGAACUGAUGGCCAGGCAUGGUGGCUCACGCCUGUAAUCCCAGCACUUUGGGAGGCCGAGAAAGAUGGAUGAAGUCAGGAGUUCAAGACCAGCCUGGGCAACAUGGCAGAACCCCG